CACGCCGGGAAAUCCGCGGGCGCGCUUUUUCAAACAUGGCGGACGAAAGCUUUGUUUUGUUUUUAUCUCGGUGAGGUCUUUGUUUGCUGUCUUUACACUAUUCGAUCAGUGCAAAACCACAAAAAUGUAAGGAAAAGCUGCAGCAAGUUAUUGAAUUGAUAAUUAUGAUGCUAACCAUGCCAAGGUAUGGGUGAAAAGUGAGGGAACAACUAUUUUACAUCAACUGAUGUGGAAGAAAUGGCUACUUGUUGCGCGUUGUAGAUUAACUUUCAUUGGACGUAGCUGUUAAAGCAUGGAGGAGCAAGAAAGAUUAGCGACCAAACUGGAGGCUGUUCUAGAUGAGAACCAAUCCCUUCGAGAGGAACUGACGCAGAUGAGGGUGGACAAAGAAUUUGUGUGGAAUCUGUGGAAACGACUGCAGGCGGCUAAACCAGAUUUGGCAUCAGUCAUCAGUAUGGUGGUGUCCAGAGAAAAAGAGAAAACUGAGAAAAAGGAUAAAAAGAUCUUACAGAUUUUGAAGAUGAAAGAUGAAAAAAUCAAAGAAAUGCGGGAGGCCCUUGAUGAUGCCGUUUCUGACCUCAAACAGACUAAAGAAAGAUUCCAUGACCUUCUUAUUGAGAAUGAUGAACUGAAACAAAAGCAGGAUGCGAAGGAGUCAGAGAUUUUACAAAGAGCCAAGGAAGCUGAGGAGAAGAAUGAGUAUCUCUCACAAUUGGUCAAGGCCUAUCAAGAUGAGAAGGAGAAAGGAAGUGAAGAGACAAGGAAAACCUUGGAGACUAUUGAAAAUGAGAAGAAUGGGCUCAAGUCUCAAAUUCAAAACUUGGAAUCAGAAAUAGGCAAGCUGAGUGCAGAUAGAUUGUCAUUUGAUAACAUGAUUAAGACAAAUUCCACACUUCAGGACAAAAUCCAGGUGUUACAGGAUGAGAUGGAUGAACUGGCCGCUAAAACUCAACAGCUGGAGAAGGAGCAUGAAGGAGCAAUCUCAACACUGAAGCUGAGAGAGUCCCAGCUACAGGAGAACCAGAGGAACUUGCAGUUUAUGUCUGGUGAAGUCAAGGAUAGAGAGCGAGAAAAUAUUCAACUGAGGAGUGAAGUGGCUGAGCUCAAGACAGAGAAUGAGAAAGCCUUAGAUCACAUCAGGGACCAGACGGCAGUCAUAGAGCAGCUCCAGAGAAUGCAGGAACAGCUUCACAGAGUUAUGGCAGAUCGCAAGCAAGUGAAUGAAAGAGAUGCCGUCGCAUUGCAAAAGUCUGUUGCUGAUCUGCGAGCCCGUUGUGCUGAGGGUGAUAAGCGAGAAAACCAGCUGAUGGAGCGAAUUGAGGCGCUGAGAGAGAGUGACGAGAGGCAUAUACGCGAGCUAACCAGCAAAGACCAGUUGAUUGACGAGCUAAGGAAACGCCUGGAAAACGCGUCACAAGCAAGUGCUGUCCUGGGGAAUUCUCAUAGGACCGAGGCGUGCCCCCGCUGCCGAGAGUCCAAGGACAAGCUUGAAGAUGUUGAGAUGGAGCGAGAUGAGCUUCGCGAGAUGGUCAAUGAAAAGACCAGACGGAUCUCCUCCCUUGAAAGAACCCUGAAGACCUCGUUAGCGACAAACAAGAGAAAAAGUGACCCAAGACCAUCAACUACCUCCCCAGGGCAAGUAUCGCCAUUGCAUGGGGAGGAGCGUGAAAGACUGGAUGCUAAAGUCCAUCGCAUGCAGGCCAAACACAAUGACUUGAGGAAACUGCUUGAUCUCAAGGACAGCGAGCUGGCGGAGGUGCGCAAAGCGCAUGCACAAAGGCAAAAGCGAUACCGUCUGCUGAAGGAUAACUUGAACCUGGUUCAGAGUCAACUGCGCACGUACGAGAAGGAACCGAAGGAAAGCUCUCCCAUUGAGCGUCCUGCCGAACGCGCCUUGAGACACCACAACAGUGACGGCGUAUGGAACGAGUUAACCCAUUACAAGACCGAGUACGAGAAGCUGGAGAAAGAAAGGCAUGACGUCCUGGAGGAGCUUGACGUCCUCCGAAUGCAGCACGCGAAUGAUCUGACCACGAUACAAGAGCUCCGAGUCUGCUUGCAAGAAGAGAAAGAAAACCUGCUGUACCGACUUACUGAGGAAGAGAAGAAACAAGAGACAAGACUGUCUCGCGAGGCGCGCAAGUAUGAUAAGCAGGACGAGGAGCUAGCCGUUUGGAAAGAAAAGGUUCGUGGCAUUGCUGUGAGGUAUGAGAAACGGGCAGUGGAACUGGAAGAGGAUGUCGACCUGGGCAAGCAAGAAAUCGAGAGUCUCCGGAAGGAGUUAGAUAAUUCAAAGAAAGACCACUUGUCCUUGGAGCGUCGAUUGGAAGCGACCGAGCACGAGCUCCGCCAGCGUGUGACAGAAUGCGAUCAGUUAAGAGAUGAUAUGGAUGAACUACAGCGGCGCCACAUCCAUGUGGGGAGCCGAGACGUAGCCGAGGAGGACACUCAAUCGACAGGCUUGGCAAGUUCGCAUGGAGCUGCCAGCCCAGAGAAAAGGCGUUUAGAGCAGCAGGCCAAGGAUAUUAACCAGUACGACAAGCAGCUGAAAAAAAUCGCUGAAAAGAUCCUUAGCCCUUCCAAACAGGCCAAGGAAUAUCCGCAGAAAGGCUCCCAGCCUCCUCUGCGCGCCUCGCACGGCACACAAACAUUGGCGAGCCCACGGACAGCGGACUUCAGCGUGACAGUAGAUAUGGGAGGGGAGUCUACCGAGGAGGGAGAGGACGGGAUGGGCAGUGACCUUGGCAUGAUUGGUGGCAGAGGAAAGGACACGUCUAGGGUCGUAGUUCAGAAGACGCCUCGCAGUAAGCCAAAGGGGAUGCCGGGAAGGCGCACCCCUGCCCGUGGGGAGUGGGCUAGUAUGAAGCAGCGUAUACUCAGCCUGACGCAACAAGUUGCGGCAUUGCGUGUUGCUAAGGAUAAAGCCAUCAAAUCCGCUUCUGACGAGAAGACAGCGAGCGAGAACCUGCGCGCCGAGCUGAGCAUCGUACUACAGCGAAUGCAAGUCAGCAAGAACACCAUUCAGACGCUGUCAGAGGAUCUGAAGAAAUGCCUACGUGAGAAGGAAGCGCUGAUUGUCGAGAGAGAGGAAUACCAAGGCCAAGGGAACGACGAAGAACUUCGACGUGUGGAAGAAAGACUUAAGGCCUCAAGCGCAGAAUGUUCGAGACUUGUGUAUAAUGUGAAAAACUUACGGACAGAGAAUAAAGACUUGAAGGACAAGUUACAGGAAGCACAAGAGAGGGUUACCAGAGUAGAGCAUGAUGUAAAUCAAAAGAAAACGCUGAUCGAGGAGCUGCGAAACAAACUCAGGAAGGCGCAGAGUAUGGAAGAUAAGGAAGCAAACACAGUGAAAGAUUUUGAAGAAAAAAUUCGCCGCCUAACAGAAAGAGACAGUCAACGUAAAGGCCAGGUGGACAGUCUGAAGAGACAGCUUGACGCCGAGACCAGAGACAAGGACAAAUGGCAGCAACAGUACUACACAGUCCAGGAAGAACUUAUGAAAAAGGCUCGCAUGUUAUCCGAGACCCGGGCCCUGCGCGGCCAAGCGGAGAUUGCAGUGAGCGAAAUAGAGGCUGCGGCCACACGACAAUUACAGGGAUUAGCCAAUCAGAGCCAUGCUACUAUAUCUGCACUGCAAGCCAAGCUAGAAAGAGCCAAUGGCAAAGUGCAAGAGUUCCAGGCCUUUGUUCAAAGCCUUGUCGAUGAGCAGCUGUCCGGUCUGGAUAAAAUGGCACGCGCCGCUGAGCGCAUGGAGGAGGCAGAGAGGAGAGAUCAGCAGCGAAAGCCGUCCUCCCAGCAAGCACGUGACACGGCGUGCUCUAUAUUGAACCUGACCAGUAAUGAUCUGGACGAGAUGAUGAGAGAUGACAAUACCAUGGUAAGAUAUACCACGUGUUGUGAUGAUCACGUGACACGACGUGCUUUAUACUGAACCUGACCAGUAAUGAUCUGGACAAGAUGACGAGAGAUGACAAUACCAUGGUAAGAUAUACCACGUGGUGUGAUGAUCACGUGACACGGCGUGCUCUAUAUUGAACCUGACCAGUAAUGAUCUGGACGAGAUGAUGAGAGAUGACAAUACCAUGGAGAAUGAGCGGCUAGCGCGGAAGAAAAGGGAAAACGAAUGGAGAAAAAGACUCGAUCACUCGC